CAGCCGCCGCGGUAAUACAGAGGCCUCAAGCGUUGUUCGGAUUCAUUGGGCGUAAAGGGUGCGUAGGUGGCUUGGUAAGUUGAAGGUGAAAUCUCGGGGCUUAACCCCGAAACUGCCUUCAAUACUGCUAGGCUCGAGGACUGUAGAGGAGAAUGGAAUUCACGGUGUAGCAGUGAAAUGCGUAGAUAUCGUGAGGAAGACCAGUGGCGAAGGCGAUUCUCUGGGCAGUUCCUGACACUGAGGCACGAAGGCCAGGGGAGCAAACGGGAUUAGAUACCCCCGUAGUCCCUGUCUCUUAUAC
rnacentral:rRNA from 1 species